GGAGGUGUCGCCUAGUCCGGUCUAUGGCGCCCGCCUGCUAAGCGGGUUGAGGUCACAAGCCUCUCGAGGGUUCAAAUCCCUCCACCUCCGCCA
rnacentral:tRNA from 1 species